CAGCGCACCACCGAGCUCCCUCCUCCCCUUUUAAUCCCUCCAAAGUUCCAUCAAACCCCGCCGCCACCAGAGGCCCCCCGUUCUUCCCUCUUGCACGCAUAGCAGAGAGCCAAUCGAAAUUCAGUCAAGCACCGGCCCCCAGUUCGCCGUCGCUUCCGGCCACCACCCGCCAACCCGAGACCACCUCCAGCUUCUCCAUGAGACGCUGAAGCUCGUCGACAGACGAACGCAUCCAAUCGGCCACGAAAUCGACGUCCAUAUCCUCUCCGGCCACCACGCACCGGCGAGAUUUCCGACUGCCACCGACCUCGUCCGCCCCCGCCGAGGCGUUCAUCAUUUUCUUGGUGAGAUGGCGCCUCUUUUUCCCUCUCUUCUCUGUCAUGUUUGCUCGCUGUUUGGCAUAGCUUAAUUCUGAUGGAACUGUCGCCCUUUUCUGUCCGAGAUACACCGGAGUUCGCUCUCCUUGCCGUCGCCAUGGGCCUCGCUGAGCCGUGCUAGCACCGUCUCCUUCGACCCGUACGACUAAAGCAGCAACCUCUCGGUAUGAAGACAUGUUCGAUGAAGAUGACGUUAGCAAGGUUACCCUUCCGGCAUGGUCUAGGUAGGGUUAUGGACGUCGUCGUUUAUCUUCAGGACUCUUAGUCUAAUUUGUAUCUGGUCCGUACUCGAACGUAUUUGAUCUUCUAUAUGAUUUGGAUCUUUGUAUUGUAUAUUUGUAUCUUGACUCGUUGGAGUCGUUGUAAUAUAUGUUUUUUAUAGGCUCUAUUGUAAACAUGUUGUAAUGUAACCGCUCAUGGUAAUUCCUCUGGCAUCA